rnacentral:rRNA from 1 species
GGGUCAGUAGGUUGGUCGUGCCACCGGUACGUACUGGUCUCACUGAUUCCUCCUUCCUGAAGAGCCGUAAUGCCAUUAAUUUGGUGUUGCGGGGAAACAGGACUGUUACUUUGAAAAAAUGAGAGUGUUUAAAGCAAGCUAACGCUUGAAUACAUUAGCAUGGAAUAAUGAAAUAGGACGAUCGAUCCUAUUUUGUUGGUUUCUAGGAUUGACGUA